UAUGUUUUACCUGUAGUAAUUACUUGGAUUUUUGCUUAACUAUGCCACUACUUUUUUUAUUCAAUGAAAUUGACUAUUAUUUCUAUGAUUUACAUCAUGCCAAAUGUUUCUUUAUAAGUUAUGUAAAACAACAUAGAACAUACAAGUGAUAUUUAUAAAAUUGCUUUUUCCUAUAAAUUGCAGCUUGAUAGUCAGAAGGAACUGACCCCACAGGAAAGAUCUGAAGUGAACAAUCUGGCAUUCAGUUGGGAUCUUCCCCCCCAUCAACAGUAACAACAGGAGGUGGUUGGCGGAAAAAAACCCUGCACCAUGCGGUCAUUGAACGGUGACGAACACAAAUGAAGCAGCUGCGUAAGGGGCUGAAAGAGACUGGUGUGCUCAACAUGAUAAAAGAGUGUCCAGCCCUAGCCGAGGUCCUGUUUCCAAGAUCUGCAGCACAAGUGAUGGACUCACAGAUGAUCUUGAAAAGGAUCAUCUGGCCAAUGCCUGAUAGUGAGGAUGAGGAUGACCACAACAGUGUGGAGGAGACCUGCCUGGUCACGGGCUUUUUAAGAGAUUACAUUGAAAAUGG